AGCUGCACGACAUAUUCACUUUUCUGGCUACCGAAGUGGAGAUGCAGGGGGAGAUGAUCAAUCGGAUUGAGAAGAACAUCCUGAGCUCAGCGGACUACGUGGAACGUGGGCAGGAGCACGUCAAGACGGCCCUGGAGAACCAGAAGAAGGCGAGGAAGGUGAGCCUCCCAGGCCCGGCCACUGCCCCAGGCACCCUGUGUGACUUCCCUGACCCCCUCCUCUCCCACAGAAGAAAGUCUUGAUUGCCAUCUGUGUGUCCAUCACCGUCGUCCUCCUAGCAGUCAUCAUUGGCGUCACGGUGGUUGGAUAAUGUCGCACAUUGUUGGUGAGAUGUUGUGGGCUGCCCCCUGGCCUGCCCCAGCCCUGGCCCCAGCCAUCCCUCCUCCCUCAGACCCUGUUCUCCCUCCUUUCCUUACAGGCACUAGGAGCACCAGGGACCCAGGGCCUGGCCUUCUCUCCCAGCAGCCUGGGGGGCAGGGCAGAGCCUCCAGUCGGACCCCUUCCUCACACUGGCCCCUAUGCAGAAGGGCAGACAGUUCUUCUGGGGUUGGCAGCUGCUAAUUCAUGGUGGCCGCCUCCUUCAGGCCUCAAUGCCUGGGGGAGGCCUGCACUGUCCUGAUUGGCCGGGACACACGGUUUUGUAAAAAAUUAAAAAACAAAAAAAGAGCAUAGAAA
rnacentral:sRNA from 1 species